UGACCUUUGCCACCGACUUCGUCUGCAUCACUGACGCGUAAUAGAACUAGAAGUACAACACUGGCACUCAGUUGAACUGAAACUUCACUAUCUAGGACUAAGACGUCAGUUGCUAAUGACGCAUUGAAUGUCCACAAACCUAGUCUAGAAUGCCUCAUCGUUUGUCUGAAAUGAGGUCACCGUAAUUACGUAACUAGUGCAAGAAAUUAGAAACACAAGUAGCUUUGAGGUAGUUAGUUCGAGUUUGCAGUUACGUACCUGCCGGAGUUCACAGCGAAGCCUAGUAGAUUAUAUCCUAGUUGCUUUCUGUCUCUAGUAAUAAAUAUACUAAUGAGCACAACUCUGUCUCUGACACAAGCGUGUAGUACUGCGAUGGAACAGGACGAAUCGACAGCCGUGCUACAGAAAGAUGAAACAGAUACUCUAGACUCUCCAUCGCGGCACUAGCAAUGCGUUGAAUAAGCUGGCAAUGGUCGUGUCGUGCACAAGCAGUGUGGGUCGGCCAGCAGUAAUGCGUAUAGAGGUUAUGGUUUCAAUGGGAAGACCAGAACCUAUGGCUUGAAGAAUUGCAACAAUUAAGAAAAAUAAUUAAUUAACUUAGGGAAGUACUUUAAAGGGGAAAUUUUCGGAUGCGUAAAAUUGUCGCUAUAUUGUCGGUGGGUACAUUUUCGCAUAAAUUAAUUAAGCACGGGGGAAAUUUCUGUCAAUAAAGAAUGUCUGUAAUCUCGAGUACGCGUUGUCACCAGAAAGUCACGUGUACUUUUUACGUAAAAGUACGGCUCUUCACUCGUGCAUUUGUGGAUAUUCUGGAUGUACUGCUUUUUCAUUGACCUGACUGUACUCUCAUUGACGAAAUGACACAGUACACUGCUGAAAUGCCUAUAGUAGCUCUAUUCUCUUCUGCUUACAGUGAGAAGUUAUGAAGGACUGUAUACAUGAUACUCGGUUCUUCGACGUUUCACGGCUGGAGCAUGCUAUUCCCUCUGGAGGAAACCAGAUGCACGCAGUCCUUCACUGCGCAACGCUGGAACGCAAUUGGCAUAAGAUGCAUCGUUGGAUGAGAGGUCACCGCAAACACCAAUUUGUGCUCUACUCAGACUAUAAAGUAUCAAUAGUCCGCCUAUUGACAGCUCUCGUGGAAAAGAGUUCAAUCGGGGAAGCAUGCAUUAGUGAGGACUUUGCCUAAUGAAUGGACGGCUUUCAUUCAAUCAUAUCUUAUUAAUGUGUCUAUUCCUCUGACAUUGUUUGCUCAGCAAGUGGUGUCAGUUGACUUUAGGAGUAAGAUCUUUUACAUCUGUGAAUGUGUUCGUAAAUCUUAAUGCGUUAAGGUACACGCUGUUAUUAACGUCUUUUUUUGAGUUUUUAUAACUAGGUAAGAUUGUUAUAGGAGUGAUACUUCUUUAGAUUUUGACGAGUUUAUGCACAUGCUU